rnacentral:rRNA from 1 species
GAUGAACGCUGGCGGCGGGCCUAAUACAUGCAAGUCGAACGAACUGACGAGGAGCUUGCUCCUCUAACGGUAGCGGCGGACGGGUGAGUAAGAAGUGGAUAACCUACUUAUAAUACUUGGAGAACAUCGUGAAGCCGGAUCUAAUACCGCAUAAUAUGUUGAACGGCAGAGAUCAGGAGUUAAUCACGGUUUUGCUGUCACUUAUAGAUGAAGCCGCGCCGGAUUAGCUAGUUGGUAAGGUAACGGCUUACCAAGGCGACGAUGCGGAGCCGAUCUGAGAGGGUGAUCAGCCACACUGGAACUGAGACACGGUCCAGACUCCUACGGGAGGCAGCAGUGGGGAAUAUUCGACAAUGGGCGCAAGCCUGAUGCAGCCAUACCGCGUGAGUGAUGAAGGUCUUCGGAUUGUAAAACCCUGUUAUUAGGAAAGAAAAACAGUGUAAGAAAAUCUGGCUGUUCUGACGGUACCUAAAGAGAAAGCACCGGCUAACUUCGUG